GAAAUGCGACAAGUAAUGUGAAUUGCAGAAUUCAGUGAAUCAUCGAAUCUUUGAACGCACAUUGCGCCCGCCAGUAUUCUGGCGGGCAUGCCUGUUCGAGCGUCAUUACAACCCUCAGGCCCCCGGGCCUGGCGUUGGGGAUCGGCGGAAGCCCCCUGCGGGCACAACGCCGUCCCCCAAAUACAGUGGCGGUCCCGCCGCAGCUUCCAUUGCGUAGUAGCUAACACCUCGCAACUGGAGAGCGGCGCGGCCACGCCGUAAAACACCCAACUUCUGAAUGUUGACCUCGAAUCAGGUAGGAAUACCCGCUGAACUUAAGC
rnacentral:misc_RNA from 1 species